AAAGAAUCCGGAUAAGGAAGAGAAAGCAUAGCUGUCUUGGUUUCUUUAUUUCACAGAUGGAACUGGGGGUCUGUAUUCUCUGCUGACAACAAACACCUGGAACAGAGCACGUCAGUAUUACUACAAGACAGAGAAAAGGAGCAAUCAAUUCAUAACCUGAAGAGAACUACUAUCAAACUCAAGUUUGAUGUUCAAGGGACAAUCUAAAAAUGUAGAACUGUCUCUGGGUUCGUAAUGGAUGUACAGUAAACUUGAAAAUGACCUACAUUGGUUCCGUGUCAGUGUAACACAUGAAGAUCAAACUGUAUUUGUGAGUUUAAAAAAAAUGUGUUUAAACAUUGUACAGCUAUGGCCAAAACAUUUGCAUCAUGUAGAAUUGUAGGUUGGAGACAUAAUUAAUAAAAUGAAAAAUAAAAAAACUAUGUGAACAUAAUUUAGAUUUUUUUUAUUUAACAUCAUGUAAUCAAAGAAACUCCAAAAUGAUACUGCAAAAGUCUACCGGAAGCCAUACUAGUAGUACAGUAUUUCAUGUUAGAUUUUGAAAUGUCACAUUUUUCAGUUUUUGUCAGUUUUUCGUUAAGUAUAUGGAAAACUACAAAGCGGUAUGCAAUUCAGUAUAUUAACGUAACAUUACUCAGCAGGUUUCAUUCGAAUUAAUUCUAUAGGGUGAUGCAAAAUGUUUGGCCAUAGCUGGAGGUGCAGACGCUGCUCCAAUUCAACCUCAGCUAGCAAUUCAUUGGGAUGCAUGCAUACAACUGCUUUCUGAUAUUCUGAAUAUGCAGCAGAAACUUAAAGCUAAUAUGGCUGCCAAAUGUCAAUUGUUUUUAGUUGAGAUGCAUAGAAUACAGCUGUGAACUAAAAAGAAAAACAUUCUCAAA